rnacentral:lncRNA from 1 species
AAAGGACUGUGCCAAAAAGAAGGGUUUCCAGGAAGCAGAAGUGGUCUUGGAGAGAAAACAGGGGUCUCAAAAAGGAAACAGUGAAGAUCCUGGCUGGAAGGAAGAUCCUGGAAGAGAAGGAGAUGGGUGGAGACCAGUGCCAGCAGACCUUGCCCCAGGACUGCUACCUGGAGCAGCUGCCCACUGCCAGCUAACACAGCUCCCUGCUGGAUUUCCCCAGGCCAGCAGCAACCUCCCUGCUGGGAAGAGCCUUCUCCCGGAGCCGAAGUAGUGAGGACUGAUGAGCUGCUCGCAUUUCCUCCUCCUUCAUGUACUGUCUUACCAUCUCCAUAGUAAAUUUAGAGAAACUAUCUUGCCCUCCUGAGAAAGGCAUGCUUAGCUCCUGAAUGGCAAGACAAAUUUGGCAUGGUUUGUUAAUAAAGAAAUUUCAAAGCCUUUUUCAAGUACAAACUGUGUGUAUGCACAUGGUUCAGCAUAAGAAGGGAAUUUGUUUUUUCUCUCUGAGCUACUAUAAGAC